rnacentral:piRNA from 1 species
UCCUCAGGAAUGAGCUUAGUCUGGUUGGU